rnacentral:rRNA from 1 species
CAGCCGCCGCGGUAAUACGGAGGGUGCAAGCGUUACUCGGAAUCACUGGGCGUAAAGGACGCGCAGACGGAUUAUCAAGUCUCUUGUGAAAUCUAACGGCUUAACCGUUAAACUGCUUGGGAAACUGAUAAUCUAGAGUAAGGGAGAGGCAGAUGGAAUUCUUGGUGUAGGGGCAAAAUCCGUAGAGAUCAAGGAGAAUACCCAUUGCGAAAGCGAUCUGCUGGAACUUAACUGACGCUAAUGCGUGAAAGCGUGGGGAGCAAACAGGAUUAGAUACCCGCGUAGUCCCUGUCUCUUAUAC